AUUGAACGCUGGCGGCAGGCCUAACACAUGCAAGUCGAGCGGAUGAAGGGAGCUUGCUCCUGGAUUCAGCGGCGGACGGGUGAGUAAUGCCUAGGAAUCUGCCCGGUAGUGGGGGAUAACGUCCGGAAACGGGCGCUAAUACCGCAUACGUCCUGAGGGAGAAAGUGGGGGAUCUUCGGACCUCACGCUAUCAGAUGAGCCUAGGUCGGAUUAGCUAGUUGGUGGGGUAAAGGCCUACCAAGGCGACGAUCCGUAACUGGUCUGAGAGGAUGAUCAGUCACACUGGAACUGAGACACGGUCCAGACUCCUACGGGAGGCAGCAGUGGGGAAUAUUGGACAAUGGGCGAAAGCCUAAUCCAGCCAUGCCGCGUGUGUGAAGAAGGUCUUCGGAUUGUAAAGCACUUUAAGUUGGGAGGAAGGGCAGUAAGUUAAUACCUUGCUGUUUUGACGUUACCAACAGAAUAAGCACCGGCUAACUUCGUG
rnacentral:rRNA from 1 species